ensembl:lncRNA
UGCAAGAUUACACCCUCCUCCACUCCUUCGAGAAGCAAAGAUCUUAACCGCGGAGUGUUUCUCAUCCCCAACGCUGGCGGUCGAAGACAUCACUGUCUAAUCUCUCGCGUUCCUUCUGCUAGUUCCUCACAGGCGGGGCUCGUGAAUUCUGUUAGGACAGCCGCACAACCCGGUUACAGUUAUUGUGUGAUUCACCAGUUACUUGGGACAACAAAUUCUCUUGCUUGAAUUAGCUUGAAGUACAUCAUGAGAAACGCUGGGCUGGAGGAAGCACAAGCUGGAAUCAAGAUUGCGGGAGAAAUAUCAGUAACCUCAGAUAUGCAGAUGACACCGCACUUAUGACAGAAAGUGAAGAAGAACUAAAGAGCCUCUGAAUGAAGGUCUCAGAUAACAAUCCUUCCCAUGGCCUCAAGCUGCAGCCUACAUGCUCAUCUUGGGACAUUCUUUGUAAAGAUCCUUGAACAAAUGUCAAUGGUUACUUUAUAGAUUAUUUUCUGGGCACAACUUCAGAAGCCUUUGUGCUUUCUCAUGCUUCUCUCAAGCACCUUAACAUUCUUUCCAGCCAACUCAACCAAAGAAAGCAAAGAACAAGUCAGAAUCACAAGGCCUAACUCCUUCAUCCUGGGGCCAUGCCUGUGAGAUGAGGAGAGGGGGUUGGGACCAUGCCUCCAUUUUGUCAGUAAUGCCUAACGCGGCUCCCGGCAGGGCAACAGUGAAAACAGUGGCUGACUUUAUUUUUUCUGGGCUCCAAAAUCACUGCAGAUGGUGAUUGCAGCCGUGAAAGUAAAAGACACUUACUCCUUGAAAGGAAAGUUAUGACCAACCUAGAUAGCAUAUUGAAAAGCAGAGACAUUACUUUGUCAACAAAGGUCCAUCUAGUCAAGACUAUGGUUUUUCCAGUGUAUGUAUGGAUGUGAGAGUUGGACUAUAAAGAAAGCUGAGCACCAAAGAAUUAAUGCUUUUGAAAUGUGGUGUUGGAGAAGACUCUUGAGAAUCCCCUGGACUGCAAGGAGAUCCAACCAGUCCAUCCUAAAGGAAAUCAGUCUUGAAUAUUCAUUGGAAGGAUUGAUGCUGAAGCUGAAAUUCCAUAUUUGGC